GGCCUUCAUCCUUUCUACCAUCAUCACUUCAAACCUGCUGUUUUCUUCUUCUGUUGUUACAUACUCACUCCCAGUACCAGGCUUUAUAUUGGUGCGCUUAUUUGCAAGUCACAAAAGCUGCCAGGGUUCCUGAUUCAAAGUCAGAAGCUUGUUAAUUUAAUCACUACAGUCUAGGUCAAUUAUCUACUCCCAAGGUGCGUGAGAGCCUGGGAAAGUGAGCGUCUGCUAUUUUCAGCUUCUAUCGUGGGAGGCAGUCUCACUAGUAUGGGGAAUUCCCCAAACAUUGAAAAGAGUUCUCAGGUGUUCGCUGGCCAAAUCAAAUAACAGAGCUCUACAACCAGGGUGUCCAGUUUGUUGUCAUCAUUGUGGCUCUCUGUUUUUGGUUCAGGUGCACAAUUUUUCUUUCAAGAAGGACCAUUCUGCCUCGGGUUAUUUCAAGCAGAGAAAUCUGCACCUGCACCCCAAUGUGAAGGUAAGAUAUAAUAUAGAAUAGAAUUAUAUCUCCUAAUUGCAUCAUCAUCCUUCAACAAAUUUUUUUUUUUUUUAACUGCCUCCAUUUGCCAGGCACUGCAUUAAGGAUGGGAAUACGGAGUGACGUGGACAAACAUGGCCACAGUGCUCAAGGAUCUUAUGGGCUCCUGGGAGGGGAUCAAACGAUUGAUUAAUCAUAUUUGUGACAACUUCCCUGAAGGACAAAUAUAAGAUAACAUGAGAGAAAAUAAUGGGAAAACCUGGCUUGUCCUUCACAGCAGAAUCAUUGAGGAAACUGCAUUCACAGUGAGUCCUGCCAAAAUACAAAUGAAGAGGCACCAACAAGAGAAAGGGGCUUCACAUUCUCCUGCCAGCUCACAUUUGCCCUUCACCGAGCUGCGGUCUGUUCUAACUGAACUCUUCUUACUGAUGUCCAACGGCAUCUACUCCAGGUAAGCAAAUGUUCACAUCUCAUCAGUCCCUACGGUGCCUGUGUCUCCUUGGAUUUGGGGACAGUUGAUGGCCAUGUGUCCCCUUU
rnacentral:lncRNA from 1 species